ACAAUAGCUCAGUUGAUUAGAGCGUGGUGCUGAUAAUGCCAAGGCUGCAGGUUCGAUCCCUGUAAGAGACAGCUGCA